rnacentral:rRNA from 1 species
AACGAAAGCUGGGGGCAGGCUUUACACAUUCGAAGCGAGCGCCCCUCCGGGUAGGCCAGACGGGUGAGUAAAGCAUGGGAAUCUACCUGGCUCUACGGAUUACCUCAGGGAAACUUGAACUUAAUACCGUUUACGUCCCUCGGGAGAAAGAUUUUAUGGAGGUAGGAUGAGCCCAUGUUUGAUUAGUUAGUUGGUGAGGUAAAAGGCUCACCAAGGCGACGAUCAGUAGCUGGUCUGAGAGGAAUGAUCAGCCCCCUUGGGACUGAGACCCGGCCCAAGACUCUAACGGGAGGGAAGCAGUGGGGAAAUUUUGGACAAUGGGCGCCAAGCUUAUCCCGGCCAUGCCCCUUAAUAUUAAGGGCCUUAGGUUUUUAAGGGCUUUUUCCCGGGGGAAGAAAUUAAGGAAAAUGGAAAAAAAACCCCCCGCUAAAUUCGGGGCCGGGGCCGGGGUAAAUGGGAGGGGGGUUUUUUUUUUUUGAAAUUAACGGGGGGUGGGGGGGGGUAGGCGCUCCGUGAAAUAGGGAAAAAACCCCCCACUUCA